rnacentral:rRNA from 1 species
UACGGAGGGUGCGAGCGUUGUCCGGAAUCACUGGGCGUAGAGGGCGCGUAGGUGGCGCGGGCAGUCAACGGUGAAAGUUCGGGGCUCAACCCUGAAUCGGCCGUCGAUACUCCCGGGCUUGAGCACUGUAGAGGCAGAUGGAAUUCCGGGUGUAGCGGUGGAAUGCGUAGAGAUCCGGAAGAACACCGGUGGCGAAGGCGGUCUGCUGGGCAGUAGCUGACACUGAGAGACGAAAGCUAGGGGAGCGAAUGGG